ACAAAGAGAGUAGCGCACUGGUGAGUAACACGUGGGAACGUACCUUGAAGUGGGGAAUAGCGUCUGGAAACGGACGAUAAUACCGCAUAAUCCCUGAGGGGGAAAGAUUUAUCGCUUUAAGAACGGCCCGCGGAAGAUUAGGUAGUUGGUGGGGUAAAGGCCUACCAAGCCUACGAUCUAUAGCUGGUCUGAGAGGACGAUCAGCCACAUUGGAACUGAGACACGGUCCAAACUCCUACGGGAGGCAGCAG
rnacentral:rRNA from 1 species